GAUGAAGAACGUAGCGAAAUGCGAUACGUAAUGUGAAUUGCAGAAUUCAGUGAAUCAUCGAGACUUUGAACGCACAUUGCGCCCCCUGGUAUUCCGGGGGGCAUGCCUGUCCGAGCGUCAUUGCUGCCCUCAAGCACGGCUUGUGUGUUGGGCCUCCGUCCUCCUCCCGGGGGACGGGCCCGAAAGGCAGCGGCGGCACCGCGUCCGGUCCUCGAGCGUAUGGGGCUUCGUCACCCGCUCUUGUAGGCCCGGCCGGCGCUUGCCGACACAUCAAUCUUUUUUCCAGGUUGACCUCGGAUCAGGUAGGGAUACCCGCUGAACUUAAGCAUAUCAUUAAGCGGAGGA
rnacentral:misc_RNA from 1 species